rnacentral:rRNA from 1 species
UACGUAGGGUGCGAGCGUUAAUCGGAAUUACUGGGCGUAAAGCGUGCGCAGGCUGUUUUGUAAGUCAGAUGUGAAAUCCCCGAGCUCAACUUGGGAACUGCGUUUGAAACUACAAGACUAGAAUAUGGCAGAGGGGGGUAGAAUUCCACGUGUAGCAGUGAAAUGCGUAGAGAUGUGGAGGAAUAUCAAUGGCGAAGGCAGCCCCCUGGGAUAAUAUUGACGCUCAUGCACGAAAGCGUGGGGAGCAAACAGG